CUAGGAAUUUCUGGGUCACAUGUUCUGUGCAUAAUUUUUUGAGGAAUUGCUAAAUUGUUUUUCAUAAUAGCUGCACCACUUUAUAUUUCUACCAAUAAU
rnacentral:pre_miRNA from 1 species